ACUGACCAUACAUGAAUAGGGAUGGUGAAGGAACUUACAGGUGGCUAUAUAAUCAAUAUCAUGCGAAAGGGUUGGAGAGUGACCCAAUUGAAAUUGACUUCACUCCUCCCUUCAGACGGAUUGAUAUGGUAGAGGAAUUGGAGAAGAUUGCAAACUUGAAUAUACCCAAGGAUCUCUCAAGUGAUGAAACC